rnacentral:rRNA from 1 species
UACGUAGGGUGCAAGCGUUAAUCGGAAUUACUGGGCGUAAAGCGUGCGCAGGCGGUUAUGUAAGACAGAUGUGAAAUGCCCGGGCUUAACCUGGGAACUGCAUUUGUGACUGCAUGGCUAGAGUUUGGCAGAGGGGGGUAGAAUUCCACGUGUAGCAGUGAAAUGCGUAGAUAUGUGGAGGAACACCUAUGGCGAAGGCAGCUCUCUGGGACGGUACUGACGCUGAGACGCGAAAGCGUGGGGAGCGAACAGG